CAGGAAUUGCGCAGAGGCGCGCCUCAAGGCGUGCCUCUUAUUGCGCAAUUUUAAACCAUGGCUCUGCAUUACUGUUAGAUGGGGGAAGGGAAGGAGAGGUAUGGCCCGAUACAAUAACAAUGGAGGUGGAGCGUGAGUUGUUAGUGGCUGGGGCAAGAGCAAUGGAAAUGGGCUGGCCAGAUUAGAGGAUUUUUUGUUAGGUGUCGCAUGACUUCUCAGUUUUCUACUAGUACUCCUACCUCUAAUAAUAUUUAUUGCAUUACUAGUAUGAUCUAAAGUGGGGGGCGGCUUUGAAAGGUAGAGCAAGGAGUAAUGAACUAGGGAAUUACAAAAUUCACUUGGAGUACGUCUCCAUUCGUAUUGGACUUUCAAGCUGAACUCAUCCCCAUCCAAAGAAAUGGGAAUUUCAUCUGGGAACUUGGCAUUGUAGCCAAACUUAACACAUAUUCUGGCAAAGGUGAGGCAGGUCCUUUGAGCUUUCAAAGAGUCCACCGUGAGGGGAAUGCCCACUUUACUUGAAAUUCUGGAAAUCCCUUUAGAAUUCUAGCAAGCCAAAGGUAGAUCGUGGAUCUUGAUCUAGAUAGGAACAGAGAAAAAAUUUUCCCUCUGGGGCCAAAAUGGUGGUGCCAUUUUUUGAGGAUGAAAGGUUUACCAAGGAGAAACCAGACUCCUCUAAACCAUACCAAGUCAUAAUCUUUUAUGGACAAAAAAUGAAGUAGGAAGAAACCAUCGCUUGAAAAUAAAAUGUUGAAUGAACCUUUAAGCGGCAAGGUUUUUUGAAUAGUGCCAAGUAAAGCUUUAUAAAAAGACCUCCUACCUAAGGAGUAUCCUACUAGGCACAAGCUCCAGUCUUGAGCACUAGCACAAUCUUUCUCCUUAAAAACCAAUGGUUUAAUGUUUAGAGGGGUAGAAGGAGAUCGGUAUUUUAUUGUGUGAGGAAUUUGUGGAGGCAAAAAUGUUUGGCCAUUUGUGCUAGGGGAGGUGCGAACCCCGUCACCCAAGGAGGUGAGAGGGGGGAAAUCAAAAGAUAAAGUGGAAGGAUCCAUUAGAGGGGGGAAGGGGUGAAGGAAGUCGAGGGAGAAAACCUUCGACAGAGCCACUAGAGAAGGAAAAAAGAUGGCGGAAAUCAGUCAUCUAGGGAAGAAACCCUAGCAGAGCAACUCAUUAUAUGGAUGUUUUUACUAGAGAUAUGUAAGAGGAUGUUCUGUGGUGUAUGCUUUUUGCUUAUUAUUAAAGUAAAAAUUAUGCAAAUCAAUUGAUCGAAAGACACCAAUAAAGGAGGCCAAGAAUUGCCCAGUUUUCAUCAUCAAAUUGAGUAAUGCCAACCACUGCAUUCAACUUGAACAUCUCAAUUUGAAAGCAGCAGAACAGAUGUUUAGACAAAAGAGUGGCAAGAAAGAUAUAUAAUCAAGUUAAUAACAUAGAAGUAAGCAGUAGUGUCUAACUAAUGCAGAGAUUCAACAAAGGAAACAAGAAUAAGACCCGUGGCACACAAUAUAAUUCAAAAAAAGUUCAAUAUUAACAUACAGAGAAAAUUAGAGAGAAUAUUACAGAAUUUAGAUUGCAAACAUAGCUCCAAAGAACAAUGAAGCAGAAAGUAAUGACAUAUUGAAGAUAAAAGAUAAAAGGAUGAAUAAAAUGAUAGGUUUACAUCCCUUAACAUAAUUUUUUUUUAAAUGAAUAUACAAAUAUUUUAAUGUAUCUAAUUUAUAAUAGCUUUUGCUAGACUUAUUCAAAUAAAUGAAGUAUUAGAGGCUGUGGUAGAUUAAUUAAAAGUUAAAAUAUAAAAUUCUAACUAGAGCCAUAGAAUUAAUUGGAUGAUUUUACCCUAUAAGAUCAAAUAAUCAGUAUUAUGUUUGGUUAAGUUUAGUCGAAUACCCCAUCGGUAUGGUACAAUUGCCAUUUUAUUCCUUGAAAAGGACUUAGAGUUUUUCUAUGAUAUUUGCGCACUUAAACGUGAUAGAUAAGUUUGAAAUGCUAGUUUUAUAAUAAGUUGAAAAUGUUCACUUUCCUAAAAAAUAAAAGAAAGGGCUUUUAACAAAUUGAAGCAAGUAUUUUAAGCAAGCAAGAGGCUCUCGUGAGAAGAGAAAGAGCACUGGCUUAUGCAUUUAGUCAUCAGUGGAAGAACCCUUCAAGGCCAGUAAAUCCCGGGUUUACAAAGUCCUAUAGUUGGGCGAUUUUACAGGAUUUGGCAAAAGAAGGUCGGGAAGGAAGGGAAUGACGUCGACGGGUUUCCCAGUGAGCGAACUCUCAUCUGGCCUCCGAUCAAAGUGUUGUAUCUUCCGUUCCAAUCGGAAAGGCAAGCCAUCAAAGGAGCGAAGUCAAUCAGCAACAAAGGAGGCGGAGAAUAGAGGGAACUAGGAGAGAGGACUUCGGCUUCGAGAGAGGGAGAAAGAUUCGAUUCCGCUCGCGCGUGGGAAGAACGGAGAAGAUAGGAGCACUUAUAAGUUCAAAUUAUGUGAAAUCAUCACCCAGGCUGGUUCUCUUUUUUUUUUUUUUUGCGCGAGAGAAUUAUAACCCCCUCAAUUUGGAAAACAAUUAUUACGUCCUCCGCCCGGACGUAGAGAACGUCCGGUCGCAGGCAAAUUCCCGCCAAAUACCGAGUUGUACCGAGUAAACACCGAGCAUAUCAAAUAAUAACGAGGAAUAACA